AUCCUAAUACAGGGCCGGAGCGAGCGGCUGGAAAUGUAGUGACGUCACAGAGCUGCCAGGUGACGUACGUCUCGUUUCAAUGUUGCCGGGACGACGAUGAACCAAAAUAACUCCCCGUGGUUGCAAGCGCGGCGAAAACUUGGCAUUCGUGUUUUUACACAGCUAGUGGCGAGCGAACGGCAAUCACGGUAGUGACAGAGCGGUGAACAUCCAAGAACCGAGCUCGGGUGAGAUCAGUGCGGCUUGGAGCACCAGCCUCUGCUCUGUUAGGGAAGAAGGCCUGGGGCCCGAGUUUGCCUCCCGUAACUCUCUUCAAAGCAGGUGGGAGGUGUUGGAGUGGAGGGAAGAGCACUUUCGACUUCUGAACAACAUUGCUUUAACUUCAUGAAGCUUUAGUAAGACAACUGUGAUACAAAGAAACACCAUGGAACCCAUUCAAAGAAAACGUCAAGUGCCCAGUGGGCAGAAAAAAAGAACAAGUUGCACAAAUGGCAGAAAUGAAUGAGAAACACAGAAUAUAAAACAUCAAACCACAAAUACUGAUUUCUAGUUGGUUUAUCUGCAGCUGAAGUUCGAUCCUCCAGUAUUUCAGAGAAGAAAUGUUUAGUCUCCUGGCUAACUGUUGCUUCUGGCUGAAACGUUGGCGAGAACCUGUCAGGAAGGUUACUCUACUAAUGGUGGGAUUGGAUAAUGCUGGAAAAACUGCAACUAUAAAAGGGAUUCAAGGAGAACCUCCAUAUUUUACAGAUCCAACAGUGGGGUUUUCAAGAGUUGAUAUAAAACAGGGGAAAUUCGAAGUCACCAUUUAUGACUUAGGUGGAGGGAGAAAUAUCAGAUCUAUCUGGAAGAACUAUUAUGCUGAAUCCUUUGGCGUUAUUUUCGUCGUGGACUCCAGUGAUGUUAUUCGAAUGGAAGAGGUUAAAAAAGCUGUGACCGACGUCAUAAGGCAUCCUGGGAUUUCUGGAAAACCUGUGCUUGUGUAAGUGUCUCAUCUGAAUAUAAAACAAAGCCUAUCUCUUUGCAAUGUUUACUUCCUCCAAUUCCUGGAAAAGUAAUAACACACA